rnacentral:lncRNA from 1 species
AGUGUCCAACGUUGCCUCGCGGAGGCCGCCGUGCGGAGCAAAUGUCUAACGGAAAUCAGAGGUGGAAAAGAGGUUGGAGGAGCCUGUUCCGUUCCACCCGCGUUUACUGAUGCGCCCACCAGCAGCCACGCUUGGGGCUGGGGGCUUUGAGGACACGCACGCUGCCUUAAAUAUAAUGGACAUCCGUAUGGAUUAAGACUCUAUACAAGCUUUCUCUUUAGUACACCAGGGGAAAGUGAAAAAAGAACCACAUUUGAAUUCGGCUUUGUCACUACAAGUGGGUGACCAUGAGCAAGUUACUAACCUCAGUGAACCUGUUCCUAACCUAAAAAGGAGGAGAAUGGAGAGCAGGUAAUAAUACCUUAUGAGAUGGUUGUGAGAGUUAUAUAGCAUUCUUUAUGUCAUAGUCCUAGCAAAGUGCUGGCAUAAAAUAGGUGCUCCCUAAAUGUUAAUUACCUACCUUCCUUUCCCUUUCUGUCAGAUUUUCUCUACUAUUCUUAUGAAAUAAUAAAGAGUUUUUGUAAUUAAAUAUGCUUUACUAUUCUGA